GCCAGGUGCUGUGGUGCACACCUGUAAUCCCAGCAACUUGGGAGGCUGAGGCAGGAUGAUUGUUAGUUCAAAGCCAACCUCAGUAAUUUAGCAAGGCCUUAAGCAACUUAGUGAGACCCUGUCUCAA
rnacentral:sRNA from 1 species